GGAAAGUGGAAAGUUACAGUUCAGUCUCCCUUAGGAAGAGGAAACAGCAAAAACCCUGCAGGAGAACUUCUUGAACCAAACGCAACAGAAUAGAAAAGGAAUGCAGGAUAACCCAGUUAAUGGAGAACAUCCGGGGUCAAGCAUGAACUGCACUGUGUUGUCUUUAUGAAAGAGAAACAAAAACUCAGGACCCCAAUUCACUGUGACAGAAGGAAAAAAAAAAACUGGAAGCUGAGUCAUGCAAGAAACUGCCUUUCCUUUUGUUCCUAAGCAGACAGCUACAGAGAAACGGCUAAGUAUUUCCUUAGGUAGCUACUCCAUGUUCACCUUAUCUUUUUUAAAAAAAUUUUUUAAUUAUUAUUUUUUUUGAGACAGUGUCAUACUUUGAAGCCUUUACACCCAGGCAGCUCAGCGUCCAGAGCUGGUUCCACUCAUCCCCUUCAAGGAGAGGAAAACUGAGCCCUGGGAAGGAGAAGUAAAGCUGGAGUCACAAAGCCAGGAAAUGGUGGCCAGGGGCACGACCCAGGCCUUAUAAACAACCUGCACUCUUCCCCCUGCAACACAGCCUGCUGAGGACGCUCAUCAGUCAUCUCAGUGGUUCACUUCCAAUCUCCUCAUCUGCCAAGCACCCAGCAUGUUCCAGCAAAGACAAAUUAUUCCUAUGGCAAACUGACCUGCAUGCAGUUUACAGGACUUUAUGUUAUAAAGAGGAGGGAUCUAUGGCACUUAAUGAAAAGUUACACUUAAAGAUUUUCAUAGGCCUGGCUGGGUGUGGUGUCUCAUGCCUGUAAUCCCAGCACUUUGGGAGGCAGAGGCGGGUGGAUCACCUGAGGUCAGGAGUUUGAGACCAGCCUGGCCAACAUGGUGAAACCCUGUCUCUACUAAAAAUACAAAACUUAGCCGGGCAUGAUGGCAUGUGCCUGUAAUCCCAGCUACUCGGCUGGGGCAGGAGAAUGGCUUGAACCCGGGGGGCGGAGGUUGCAGUGAGCUGAGAUUGUGCCAUUGCACUCCAGCCUGGGCGACAGAGUGAGACUCCAUCUCAAAAAUAAAAGAAAGGAUCUUUACAGGCCUUCGUGUACUGACCAGAGGAGCAAAAAUGAAUAAAAGGAUUACAACAUGAGGCUGGCAUUGCUGUGCACCUAUAUCCUUGAGUGCUGGUGGCCCCAUGGAUUAGAUCAACACCUUGAAAGCUAAUUUGACACUAGACCAACAAAGUCCUUUGACCUGGAGUUCCACUUUGGCAAAAAAUAAUAAUAAAUAAAUAAAUAAAAUCCCUAAAGUGUAUAAAGAGAAAGGAAGUUGUGAUAUUUGGAAAUUCUGGGCUUUGAGUAAAGAGAGUGAUAUUCUAGACCUGCUAUCAUUUCACUAUUACCUGAACAAUUUACUUCCUCUUUCUAGCCUUCCAUCUCUUCCUGCAAAAUAAGGCAUGGUUUUCAAUCACUUCACCACACAGGAAAAGGAAAUAGAAAUAGAAAUAAAUAAAGUCCACUCCAGGAGCAGUGGCUCACGCCUGCCA
rnacentral:lncRNA from 10 species